rnacentral:lncRNA from 1 species
ACCUCCAUGGUUCUAACAGUCGGCACUUUUUCGGUUGCCUGAGAAGCCCUACUGCCAACUCUUUUUGCUCGUGCAUCAUCUUCUUCAUUAGUCAAGCAAACUGCUCGCCUUGCUUCUUUGUAGUAUUUAACCAAGAGAUUUACAAUAUCAGCCUGUGUUUCGCAAUACACUAAAAUGAGAUAUCAUUGCACGUUGUUUAGUUAGGAUGAAAUACUAAAACGUUAUAUCAGAGAACCUUCAGAAUGUCAUUGCACCCAUGUCUAAGAGAUGUUUCAGUCCUGUAAUCAGUAAUAAUUUUCACCAGGCGAUCUCUCAGAC